GAUGAACGCUGGCGGCGUGCCUAAUACAUGCCAGUCGAGCGAACAGACGAGGAGCUUGCUCCUCUGACGUUAGCGGCGGACGGGUGAGUAACACGUGGAUAACAUACCUAUAAGACUGGGAUAACUUCGGGAAACCGGAGCUAAUACCGGAUAAUAUAUUGAACCGCAUGGUUCAAUAGUGAAAGACGGUUUUGCUGUCACUUAUAGAUGGAUCCGCGCCGCAUUAGCUAGUUGGUAAGGUAACGGCUUACCAAGGCAACGAUGCGUAGCCGACCUGAGAGGGUGAUCGGCCACACUGGAACUGAGACACGGUCCAGACUCCUACGGGAGGCAGCAGUAGGGAAUCUUCCGCAAUGGGCGAAAGCCUGACGGAGCAACGCCGCGUGAGUGAUGAAGGUCUUCGGAUCGUAAAACUCUGUUAUUAGGGAAGAACAAAUGUGUAAGUAACUAUGCACGUCUUGACGGUACCUAAUCAGAAAGCCACGGCUAACUACGUG
rnacentral:rRNA from 1 species